GGAGGAUUGCCUGAGAGAUGAAUCACACAGAUUCAUCUCUGUGAAUCAGUGAUUCUCAGCGAAUGGAAUAUGGGGAUGUACAGGACAAGCAGGGAAGGAGGAAAGGAGGAACUCUUACAUCUUCUCCAUAGGAAGGCCUUGCUCUCAUGGUCAAGGAAGAGGAAUAUUGAAGAAUGAUUUCCGGGAGUAAAUAACAUUUGAGCUGAACUCUGAAGGAGAGAUCCAGUGCCAUCCUCUCAUUUGGGACCUGUGCUGUGAUUGAAGGAGUCCUUUAGGAAUCGAAUGAAUCACACUUCACAACUAUUUACAGAGGAGAAGGAAGAAUCAGCUGAAUAUAGAAGAUGAGCACUGUGCAAACCAGUGGAAAGUGCUCCACUCCAGUGUGUGUUGAAAGAAGUCGAUAAAUCUGGAGUGCUUUGAAAUGAGGUAGUUCAUAAGUCUGGAUCAGCACAGCUUAAAGCAGCUCUCUUUAUAGAGCAGGUGUGCCCGCAUUUUUCAAUAGUGGGCUUCAAGAUUAGAAAUUCAUGUUGUACAGCCACUUUGUUUUUUACUGAAAACUGUGGCGUUUGGGAGUCUCCAUGUUUGGGGUGUAACUACUGAACCUGACUCCAGGGUGAGUCAAAUGAUUAUGCAGCAUUUAUUCUUCUCUUUUGUUCUUUUAUC
rnacentral:lncRNA from 1 species